UACGGAGGGUGCAAGCGUUAAUCGGAAUUACUGGGCGUACAGCGCACGCAGGCGGUCUGUCAAGUCGGAUGUGAAAUCCCCGGGCUCAACCCGGGAACUGCAUUCGAAACUGGCAGACUAGAGUCUUGUAGAGGGGGGUAGAAUUCCAGGUGUAGCGGUGAAAUGCGUAGAGAUCUGGAGGAAUUCCGGUGGCGAAGGCGGCGCCAUGGACGAAGACUGACGCUCAGGUGCUAAAGCGUGGGGAGCAAACAGG
rnacentral:rRNA from 1 species